AGGCCGACCGAAUCGCGCAUUACAAAUGCGUAACGUUUGCGUGAGUGUUCG
rnacentral:sRNA from 1 species